rnacentral:rRNA from 1 species
AGAACGAACGCUGGCGGCAUGCCUAAUACAUGCAAGUCGAACGAACACUUCGGUGUUAGUGGCGCACGGGUGCGUAACGCGUGGGAAUCUGCCCUUGGGUUCGGAAUAACAGUUGGAAACGACUGCUAAUACCGGAUGAUGACGAAAGUCCAAAGAUUUAUCGCCCAGGGAUGAGCCCGCGUAGGAUUAGCUAGUUGGUGAGGUAAAGGCUCACCAAGGCGACGAUCCUUAGCUGGUCUGAGAGGAUGAUCAGCCACACUGGGACUGAGACACGGCCCAGACUCCUACGGGAGCAGCAGUAGGGAAUAUUGGACAAUGGGCGCAAGCCUGAUCCAGCAAUGCCGCGUGAGUGAUGAAGGCCUUAGGGUGUAAGCUACUUUUACCCGAGUACUAG